AAAGGAGAGAAGGACAUUCCUGG
rnacentral:piRNA from 1 species